GGGUCUGUAGCCUAGCCUGGAUAGGGCACCAAAAAAAUUGUGUAAGCCUUCUAAGCUGGGGAUCGAGGGUUCAAAUCCCUUCAGACCCA
rnacentral:tRNA from 1 species